UUCAACACAAAUUGGUCAAAGGAGGACUUUUACCAAAUUAAGAUCAUUCAUUCAUUUUGGGAGAUGGAAUGUACAUUCUAUCAAUCCCCUAAAUCCAAUGAUCAUAACCUAGCAAAGUCAACAUCAACCUUAACCAAGGCCCAACAACACAAGUCAAACUCAUAAAGUCAAUUGAAAUGGCUCCACACAAUUUAUUUGGCAUUUAAACAAUUAAAAAUAAUAAAAAGAAGCAUUAAAUUGAAUUAUGGUUGGUCAAUUUCCU
rnacentral:lncRNA from 1 species